CUACGGGAGGCAGCAGUGGGGAAUCUUAGACAAUGGGCGCAAGCCUGAUCUAGCCAUGCCGCGUGAGUGAUGAAGGCCCUAGGGUCGUAAAGCUCUUUCGCCAGGGAUGAUAAUGACAGUACCUGGUAAAGAAACCCCGGCUAACUCCGUGCCAGCAGCCGCGGUAAUACGGAGGGGGUUAGCGUUGUUCGGAAUUACUGGGCGUAAAGCGCACGUAGGCGGAUUAGUCAGUCAGAGGUGAAAUCCCAGGGCUCAACCCUGGAACUGCCUUUGAUACUGCUAGUCUAGAGUUCGAGAGAGGUGAGUGGAAUUCCGAGUGUAGAGGUGAAAUUCGUAGAUAUUCGGAGGAACACCAGUGGCGAAGGCGGCUCACUGGCUCGAUACUGACGCUGAGGUGCGAAAGUGUGGGGAGCAAACAGGAUUAGAUACCCUGGUAGUCCACACCGUAAACGAUGAAUGCCAGUCGUCGGGCAGCAUACUGUUCGGUGUCACACCUAACGGAUUAAGCAUUCCGCCUGGGGAGUACGGUCGCAAGAUUAAAACUCAAG
rnacentral:rRNA from 2 species